GAUGAACGCUGGCGGCGUGCCUAAUACAUGCAAGUCGAGCGAACAGACGAGGAGCUUGCUCCUCUGACGUUAGCGGCGGACGGGUGAGUAACACGUGGAUAACCUACCUAUAAGACUGGGAUAACUUCGGGAAACCGGAGCUAAUACCGGAUAAUAUAUUGAACCGCAUGGUUCAAUAGUGAAAGACGGUUUUGCUGUCACUUAUAGAUGGAUCCGCGCCGCAUUAGCUAGUUGGUAAGGUAACGGCUUACCAAGGCAACGAUGCGUAGCCGACCUGAGAGGGGGAUCGGCCACACUGGAGCUGAGACACGGUCCAGACUCCGACGGGAGGCAGCAGUAGGGAAUCGUCCGCAAUGGGCGAAAGCCUGACGGAGCAACGCCGCGUGAAUGAUGAAGGUCUUCGGAUCGUAAAACUCUGUUAUUAGGGAAGAACAAAUGUGUAAGUAACUAUGCACGUCUUGACGGUACCUAAUCAGAAAGCCACGGCUAACUACGU
rnacentral:rRNA from 1 species